rnacentral:rRNA from 1 species
UACAGGGGGGGCAAGCGUUGUUCGGAAUUACUGGGCGUAAAGGGCUCGUAGGCGGCCAACUAAGUCAUACGUGAAAUCCCCCGGCUUAACCGGGGAACUGCGUCUGAUACUGGAUGGCUUGAGUUCGGGAGAGGGAUGCGGAAUUCCAGGUGUAGCGGUGAAAUGCGUAGAUAUCUGGAGGAACACCGGUGGCGAAGGCGGCAUCCUGGACCGAUACUGACGCUGAGGAGCGAAAGCCAGGGGAGCAAACGGG